rnacentral:rRNA from 1 species
UACGUAGGGUGCAAGCGUUGUUCGGAAUCAUUGGGCGUAAAGGGUGCGUAGGCGGGUCUUUAAGUCAGGGGUGAAAUCCUGGAGCUCAACUCCAGAACUGCCUUUGAUACUGAGGAUCUUGAGUUCGGGAGAGGUGAGCGGAACUGCGAGUGUAGAGGUGAAAUUCGUAGAUAUUCGCAAGAACACCAGUGGCGAAGGCGGCUCACUGGCCCGAUACUGACGCUGAGGCACGAAAGCGUGGGGAGCAAACAGG